rnacentral:pre_miRNA from 1 species
UAAUACACUGAGUGGCCAGAUUAUUAUGAUCUCUGAACGCAUAAUAAUCAGGCCACUCAGUGUAUAUCC